AUUGAACGCUGGCGGCAUGCCUUACACAUGCAAGUCGAACGGCAGCACGGGGGCAACCCUGGUGGCGAGCGGCGAACGGGUGAGUAAUACAUCGGAACGUACCCAGUAGUGGGGAUAGCCCGGCGAAAGACCGGAUUAAUACCGCAUACGACCGUACGGGGUGAAAGCGGGGGAUCGCAAGACCUCGUGCUACCGGAGCGGCCGAUGUCAGAUUAGGUUGUUGG
rnacentral:rRNA from 1 species